rnacentral:rRNA from 1 species
GACAGAGGGGGCAAGCGUUGUUCGGAAUUACUGGGCGUAAAGGGUUCGUAGGUGGCCAACUAAGUCAGACGUGAAAUCCCUCAGCUCAACUGGGGAACUGCGUCUGAUACUGGUUGGCUUGAGUGCAGGAGAGGAACGCGGAAUUCCAGGUGUAGCGGUGAAAUGCGUAGAUAUCUGGAGGAACACCGUGGCGAAGGCGGCGAUUCUGGACUGCAACUGACACUGAGGAAACGAAAGCCAGGGGGAGCAAACGGG